rnacentral:rRNA from 1 species
UACGGAGGGUGCAAGCGUUAUCCGGAAUCAUUGGGUUUAAAGGGUCCGCAGGCGGAUUUAUAAGUCAGUGGUGAAAGCCCGUCGCUCAACGACGGAACUGCCAUUGAUACUGUAAGUCUUGAAUUCGAUCGAAGUGGGCGGAAUAUGACAUGUAGCGGUGAAAUGCGUAGAUAUCGUAAGGAAGACCAGUGGCGAAGGCGGAUCUCUGGACAGUUACUGACACUGAGGCACGAAGGCCAGGGGAGCAAACGGG